AACGAACGCUGGCGGCAGGCCUAACACAUGCAAGUCGAGCGCACCCUUCGGGGUGAGCGGCGGACGGGUUAGUAACGCGUGGGAACGUACCCAGAUCUACGGAAUAGCCUUUGGAAACGAAGAGUAAUACCGUAUACGCCCUUCGGGGGAAAGAUUUAUCGGAUUUGGAUCGGCCCGCGUUAGAUUAGAUAGUUGGUGGGGUAACGGCCUACCAAGUCUACGAUCUAUAGCUGGUUUUAGAGGAUGAUCAGCAACACUGGGACUGAGACACGGCCCAGACUCCUACGGGAGGCAGCAGUGGGGAAUCUUGGACAAUGGGCGCAAGCCUGAUCCAGCCAUGCCGCGUGAGUGAUGAAGGCCUUAGGGUCGUAAAGCUCUUUCGCCAGGGAUGAUAAUGACAGUACCUGGUAAAGAAACCCCGGCUAACUCCGUGCCAGCAGCCGCGGUAAUACGGAGGGGGUUAGCGUUGUUCGGAAUUACUGGGCGUAAAGCGCGCGUAGGCGGGUUGUUAAGUUAGAGGUGAAAUCCCGGGGCUCAACCCCGGAACUGCCUUUAAUACUGGCAACCUAGAGUUCGAGAGAGGUGAGUGGAAUUCCGAGUGUAGAGGUGAAAUUCGUAGAUAUUCGGAGGAACACCAGUGGCGAAGGCGGCUCACUGGCUCGAUACUGACGCUGAGGUGCGAAAGUAUGGGGAGCAAACAGGAUUAGAUACCCUGGUAGUCCACACCGUAAACGAUGAAUGCCAGUCGUCGGGUAGCAUGCUAUUCGGUGACACACCUAACGGAUUAAGCAUUCCGCCUG
rnacentral:rRNA from 1 species